AAUGAUUACUCCAUAUCAUAAUCUAUAACGUUUUCUUUUUGUAUAUAAUCCAGGUACCGUUGACAAAUGGGGCGUUGUUGUUCAACUUAAAAGUAUACGAAGACCAAGUAAAUGAACAAUAUUUAUCGGCUGAAAACGUAAAUAAAAAACGGCUAAAAACGUAAAUAAAAAAGGAUACACGAUUUAAAUUUAAAAAAAAAAAAACAAUAACGGAGUGAAGUUUAACGGCGAAUCUACCGACCGAACCGAGAAGAUGAGGCGGAGCCGUAUUAACAGAGCUUGCCGGAGAAAACUAUUAUCACCGCUGAUUUACCGUAGACUGUAAGUAAUUCGAUACGGUGCUGCAAAUUCACCUUCUUUGUUGUGAAUUAUCACCAUCUUCACACACUGUUCUUCUUCUUGACUGUAUCAAUGAAUUUUAUAGAUUUUUGUACGAUUUAUCUCGUCUUUAUCAAGAGAAACAAGAAACAUCAUUUGCAAUUAGACAAGUAAUUAUGCUUAUUAUGUAACAUAUAGACAAAGUACAUUUCACUUGCAUACAAUCUCUUCUGUAAUAAUUCUAGUGGUUUCAUAACAAUACAUAUACUAAUUAAUAAUACAUUUUUGGCAACUUACUUAGGUUCCACGUAAUCCAACACAACACCAUCUUCAGAACUUGUUCUUCUUGACUGUAUCAAUGAAUCUCUGCUUUGUAAGAUCGUUUCUUGAGAUAUACUCAAGAAAAUCGUUAAAGCUGAAAUCUCCGUAAGCAGCUGGUUUCUCUUCAUUCACGAGCUGAGGUGCUGGACUUAUCUUCUUGUUCAUUGGCAAGCUGUGAAGGCUCGCGAAAGAGAGGCGGUUGACAUCUUUGUUCACUGUUACUCGAUGAACCACGCUCUUGUAUACGCCAUUGCUCAUCACUUCUACUUGAUCUCCAAGCUGCACUAUCAGAGCUCCUUCUAUGUACGGCACGCAGACCCAGUUGUUGUUUUUGUCUUUUAUCUGAAGCCCCUGGCUGCUUUGGAGUAAGAUGGUCAGUGAGCUAAAGUCAGAGUGUGGUGGCAUCCCCAAGGCUAUCUCGGGUUCUGGACACGCUGGGUAGCAGUUCACGGCCAUGACUUGUGACCCUUCUUCGAUCUCUUCCUGUAAGUAACUUUUCUCCAGGCCUAGACUCUCUGAGAUAGCUUCCAUUAGUUGCUUAUGUAACACAUGCGUUGCUUCUGAGUAUUUCCCCACUUUUUCCCUGAUAGUAUAAGAGGAUAGGUCACAUCAAUUCUAAGUUCUAGAUAGGUUUACGAGUUGUGAAACAUCUACGGAGCAAUAGGAUAUUUCUACUGUUGUGACGGACUAGAGCCAAAUGUCCAUCACUAAAUGUCCAAUUCCUCGCUUAGUAUGAUAUUGAGGAGAAGCCUUCCCCAAAAAAAAAUUUGUGAGGGCUUAUUCCCAAAACGGACAAUGUCAUACUAAGCGAAGGGUUGGACAUCU
rnacentral:lncRNA from 1 species